rnacentral:rRNA from 1 species
GACGAACGCUGGCGGCGUGCUUAACACAUGCAAGUCGAACGGAAAGGCCCUGCUCUUGCGGGGUGCUCGAGUGGCGAACGGGUGAGUAACACGUGAGUAACCUGCCCUUGACUUUGGGAUAACUUCAGGAAACUGGGGCUAAUACCGGAUAGGAGCUCCUGCUGCAUGGUGGGGGUUGGAAAGUUUCGGCGGUUGGGGCUGGACUCGCGGCUUAUCAGCUUGUUGGUGGGGUAGUGGCUUACCAAGGCUUUGACGGGUAGCCGGCCUUGGCGGGUGGCCGGCCACCUGGGGCCUGCGAUACGGCCCAGUCUCCUACGGGAGGCAGCAGUGGGGAAUAUUGCACAAUGGGCGGAAGCCUGAUGCAGCGACGCCGCGUUCGGGAUGCCGGCCUUCGGGUUGUGAACCGCUUUCGCCUGUGACGAAGCGUGAGUGACGGUAAUGGGUAAAGAAGCACCGGCUAACUACGUG